CAGAAGGAAGGUAGCUGUGGAGUC
rnacentral:piRNA from 1 species